CGCGUAGGCGGGAUAACAAGUCAGGUGUGAAAUCCGGGGGCUCAACCCUCGAACUGCACUUGAAACUGUUAUUCUUGAGUGAUGGAGAGGCAAGUGGAAUUCCUAGUGUAGCGGUGAAAUGCGUAGACAUUAGGAGGAACACCAGUGGCGAAGGCGACUUGCUGGACAUUAACUGACGCUGAGGCGCGAAAGCGUGGGGAGCAAACA
rnacentral:rRNA from 1 species